rnacentral:rRNA from 1 species
AACGACUCUCGGCAACGGAUAUCUCGGCUCUCGCAUCGAUGAAGAACGUAGCGAAAUGCGAUACUUGGUGUGAAUUGCAGAAUCCCGUGAACCAUCGAGUYUUUGAACGCAAGUUGCGCCCGAGGCCUUCGGGCCGAGGGCACGUCUGGCUGGGUGUCACACAGCA